rnacentral:antisense_RNA from 1 species
CCCUGGAGGGCCACCCAAGGAAAGAGUUCGUUCCAAAGACAGGUGCUCCUCUGAGUUCCUCUGGAAUCUGGCAAGGCGCCGAGCUUGGACGCAAGGCUUCCAUGAGGCUGUGAAGGAGGCUGCAUGGAAACCGGUGGGGACCUGAAAAGCUUUUAGUGGCCUCGCCACAUACAGCACUUUAGAUGCUCAGGUGACGAGCAACAUUUUCCAAGCCCAGCUAGUGAGCACCCCACCUGCUCUGGCUUCCAGAACCUGGUGUGGAGGGCCGGGGGAGGCUUCGGGACUGAAGAGCAGAGCAGCAGACUCCGGGGCUCAUGUAGGAACAUGCCUUCAGCCAAAGAUUAUCCAUGCUGCAUGGAGACUCUUGCUAAAUAUCACUGGGGUAAGAUUGAAGAAAAGAAAUAAACUAUGCUACCUGCUCUCAAUAAAGAUCAUUUUAUUUUAAACAGGGGGCUGAAUAAAACCUUUUGACUCUAUAUUUCAGACAAAUGCAGUGGCUUAAUUUCAUUCAAGCAUUUACUGAGGAUUUGAAACGCAUGCGGUUAGUGGUGAGAAUGCUGACUUGGGGCUGUCCCUUCAUCUGGAGUUGCCAGCCGACUGCGCAGGAAGAGAAGGUGAAUGUCAAACACACAGGUCAACAUCAGAAACAGCACUUCUGCCUUCCAAUGGCCCCGAUGUUUCAUGGAGGCCCCGAGGAGGCUGCGAAGGAACAUGGCAGUGACUGCUCCGUGGCUCUGCCUGGUGGCCAGCAACUGUUUGGGCAUUAUGACCAUGUACGUUUGACAAAGUGCAUGCAAUUAUUUGAAUAUUCUAUAGUUAUUUUAGGAAACUGAGUAGAAACAGGGAAAAUUAAAAGUGCUGAUGUUAGUAAUAGGAAACAUGGAUCUCAACAGUGCAACUGCGGCAAAGAUAAAAAACAAAUGGCAUGCCAACGGGCUCAUGACAGACACAACUGCGGCCUUGCUGGUCUUGAGCUGCCGUUGCUAAUGACGAUGAUGA